rfam:Pseudanabaena biceps PCC 7429 scaffold_00092, whole genome shotgun sequence.
GCCGAUGUAGCACAGGGGUAGUGCAGCUGAUUCGUAAUCAGCAGGCCGUGAGUUCAAAUCUCAUCAUCGGCU